rnacentral:rRNA from 1 species
UACGUAGGGGGCAAGCGUUGUCCGGAUUUAUUGGGCGUAAAGAGCGUGUAGGCGGUCUGGUAGGUCCGUUGUGAAAACUCGAGGCUCAACCUCGAGACGCCGAUGGAAACCAUCAGACUAGAGUCCGGAAGAGGAGACUGGAAUUCCUGGUGUAGCAGUGAAAUGCGUAGAUAUCAGGAGGAAUACCGAUGGCGAAGGCAGGUCUCUGGGCUGACACUGACGCUCAUGCACGAAAGCGUGGGGAGCAAACAGG